AUUCUGUCAAAGCCAAGAGUUAAGUCCACCAAGCGUGAAAUUAAAAUCAGGUUCUCCAGUAUCAAAGGCCUUAUUGGAUAAUCGGUCAAAAAAAUGAUUAUAGCAGCGUAUUUUGAUUAUUUAUAGACCGUGCAAUUACGUUUUAAAAUAGAGCUCGUCAAAGUAGCAUUGAACCUCGAAUAGAAAGCAUCAAAGAAAUCUUUCAAAGAGGUUGUUUGGAAGAGCAAAGAGUUUAGGUUGACAAUGUGGAGACCUCUGUUCAGGAAGACUGCGUUGCGUUUGUCGGAGCUUCGUGGGGUAGCUGGUGUUUCAACGCUCUCACGACCUGCAGGUUCCUUCCUGAAAAUAAAGAAGUCACGUUGGCAUCGUGCAUUCUCCUCUGCAUGCGGGGACUUGAGUGGAACCUGGUACAAUCAGUCUGGUUCAAUGAUGCAAAUCAUCCAAUCAGAAAAUGGAGAAUUGAUAGGCUGUUACCACAACUGCGCACCUGGUUCUACACCUGCUAAAGAAAAAUUGUCUGGUAGUGUGGGAAAAGAAGAACACGCCUCUCAGUUUGGCUUUACUGUCAACUUCCUGUCUCGAUCUGGGAUGUACAUGGAUGUAUGAGACAUUCUUGUGUCGGGAGAAGCUUGCGUGUGUAUAGAGUCUUUGGCAGGAAAUGUUCGAGUUGGUCCUUUGAAGCUGUCUCGUUCUCUUUUAAUAGACUGACAAUUUAAAGCAAGGGAGUACGGAAAAUUUUCAACUUUGGGAAGAAGCAAAAAUAUGGGGUCCAACCAGCCAAGUUGCAUAAUGUUCUGAUACCCAAAAACAAUCAAGCUGAAAGAGGUUGAGGUAGACUGAGAAUGGAAGGAUCUCCACGUAUCGUCAGAAGUCAGGAAUUUUAACUCGUGUCCAUGACGGAGAACACAAUUAUAAUUUUUAAUUAUUAGUUUAAGGAAGUGGCCACAAACCACCAUGAGAAUUUGACAAAACUAGAAAAUCAGAUUGACGGAGUUAGCGUUUCAUUGUGCUUUGUUCGUUGUUCUUUGUUUAUUGUUGUACUGUGCAGAAGAAUAGAGAGUUAAAUAUUUAUUGAUACACAAUAAAGACGCUCUAUUUGUGUGUGAUCAUUUUAUUAACCAGAAGAUAGGAAGGUUGAUAUUUUUCGUUUGAACCUCCCCGAAAAAUCGGGGGUCGAUCCGUCCACCGUCGCCGACCACACACCCGAUUUUUCGUUCCUUCCGAGGUUGACAUUUCCCCUUGGUCUCUUGCUUGAGGUGGUCACUUCUAGUGACAUCUAUAAAGUAAGAUAGAAAGACCCUAAAAUUUUACCACAAGAUCGACAACUUUAAGAAAGUCUUAAGAAAGUUGUUUGAAAGGCGGGUGUGGUGGGGGAGGCUGGAUGGGUGGAAAAAAAAUUGUAUUAUAAAUACAUAUACUAAAAUUGAUGUACUAUCACUGUAUUAUAAAUACAUCUAUACUAAAAUUGAUGUACUAUCACUGUAUUAUAAAUACAUCUAUACUAAAAUUGAUGUACUAUCACUGUAUUAUAAAUACAUCUAUACUAAAAUUGAUGUACUAUCACUGUAUUAUAAGUUUGUAAGAAAACGAUUGUAAUAUACAUCUAUACUAA
rnacentral:misc_RNA from 1 species